rnacentral:rRNA from 1 species
CCCUUAGAUGUUCUGGGCUGCACGCGCGCGACAAUGACGUUUGCAACGAGAUACGAGGCCGAAAGGUUAAGUUGAUCUAGCAAGCUGCGUCGUGAUAGGGACUGUCGAUUGCAAUUAUUCGACACGAACGAGGAAUUCCUUGUAAUCGCACAUCAUCAGUGUGCGCUGAAUACGUCCCUGCCCUUUGUACACACCGCCCGUCGCUCCUACCGAUCGAGUGAUCCGGUGAAUGUUUUGGAUCGGUUGCAAGUUGCGCGACGCGCUUCUUGCAUGCUGUGAAAUCAUGUAAGCCUUAUUGCUUAGAGGAAGGAGAAGUCGUAACA